AAAAAAAAGACCAUUGAAAAAAUCUCACAGAGAAGAGACUCACGCUGCUGAAAUCAGGGAUUCAGCUGUACUUUCAAUCCUCGUUUUACUGCAGUUGUUGUCAUUUACCUCAGAAUCAACGUCAGCUUUUAAAUGCUAAAAUAUAAUUAGUUAAUCUCGAUUUUUCGGGUAAAAUCAGGUCCAUCUGUAUGGAAAGGUGUUUUCGUUUGAGCACAUCGUGUUUGUUUGGUGUGGCAUGCUCAAUGUCACACACAUAAACAAAAGAUUCACGAACCCGCUCCUUGAAGUCAGCACUGUCUGUAUCUGGUCUGUUUACUUCAGUCGCAGCUGAAUCCACCGUGAAUACAACAAGUCGGUAAGAGCCAAGUGGAGGCUGGAGGAAAUUGCUUCAUCUGUAGAGUGGUUUGGACGGUAUGCAAACUGAAGCGUAUCGAGUGUUUUGGGGACAACUCCCUGGCUCAGCGAGGAUAUUGAAGAUAUCUGUUCGGUCAUCUGUCAGCUGUUCGGCACAGUCUCUCUCACGUCCAGGUAUGUCGUCAGGACCCACAGCCUUGCACGGGUUAAUCCUAGAUAGGGUUUUACGUUGGCUGGAGAAGUGAGGAAGACUGUAAAAUGCUGUUGGCGAUGCCGCCCAUUCCAUUGCUCACUGUAAUGCCGAGGUGAUGCGCGCCAGUGGGACGGAGGCCUGCGUCAGUCUGCUAUCCAUUGCCAGGCUCACUCGUGCUCGAGCCCUCAGCACCAACUGGAACCAAGAGCUCAGACUCGCUUUGUGCCCGUUUCAUCCAGACAGAGAGGGGUUUGUGAUGAGAGAAGGGGCAGCUGUGCUCCUUUAAGAGGAAUAUGGACAUGCCAAGCAGAGAGGUGCACGGGUGUAUGCUGAGGUGCUGGGAUAUGGACUAUCUGGAGACACCAGCCACAUCACGGCGCCAACCGCAGAUGGAGACGGAGCCUUUCGGUAAUACUGAUUUACCCAGUGGCAUACAAAUAAACACUACGCUAUUUUGAUUGCAUCACAACACAACAUAAAUUAUGUUCAACUUUAUCUGAAGACAGACAGCCUUAUUAACAAUAGU